UGAAAGCCGGAACUGUCAAUCACCUCCAGGUCUUUGUCAUUUAGUUUCUCUUCCCUCCUUCCAGUGGAACUAAGGAAGAGACGUGCCACUGGACUCGCGGGAAUUCCUUUUUAGUGCCCUCUUCCAGAAGCCUUUCCCUCCAAGAGGCACCUAAGUAGAACCAGCACUGAGACAAUGAUCAAUCAGACUGCAUUUGACCAGCAUCGAAAACAGGCUAAUACAAACUGGUGAAGACUUCCAGACAUGAAGGCGUUACAGUGCAGCUGCAGACACAGCUCAUGCCACCACUUUGUAAGGAAACCCCAGGAAGCUACAACCAAGAGGAGAAAGGACACUGCAGAAGUGUCUUCAAGUAUUGCCCUUUUUGCUUGUAUGAAAAACGAGGACCAUCACACCUACCCUCAGAAGCUAUGGAUCAAAGCAGACAGAUCUUUGAAAUUAUUCUGAAAAUUGUUCUUAAAUGGGAGUGAUUAUUGUUAUGAAGAAGGGAUGCCUAAGGCAAGAAGCUUUCCCGCCACCACAAGGAAUCCUGGUUUGAGUCUGGAGGAGGCAAAAGUUCAUAGUGGAACUUCACAGCAUGGCAGAAGCUGCCCAAAUCUGAUGGUUGUCCCACAAGAUCAAGAUGUAGA